rnacentral:lncRNA from 1 species
GUGGCAGUCCGCGAAGCUGCACUGCAGGGAACAGAGGAUGAAACCGAGAGGCUGCUCCUAUGUGAACGCUGGGAUUUCCUGUGCAAACAGGAGCUGGUAGGGGAAGAGGGAGCCUUUGUGAUAGGUCGUGAGGAGGUGCUGACUGAAGAGGAGCUAGCCACCACACUUAAGAUCAGUGCCAAAGCAGUGAGAGAUGCCCCGAAGACCAAGUUCAAAGCAAACACCAAAACUGCCAGCAGCAUAAACACUGUGACUGUGAAUAGUAGUGGAUCAGGACUGAAGCAUGACCUGCUGAGUCUUCAAGGUGAAUGAAGACGUGUUACGACAGACUGAAAUCACCCUCACGUUCUGGGGAUAAAACUGCGUACACAUCUGGUUGAUAAAGCAGGACCCCCUCCCCCAUAUAUAUACAAAUAGGCAUGGAGUAACAAAGACAUCAGGCCAUGGA